UGAGGAAUUUUGGGCAAUGGGGGCAACCCUGACCCAGCGACGCCGCGUGCAGGGUGAAGGCCCUUCGGGUUGUAAACUGCUUUCGGGUGAGAAGAAAAGCCGACUCGGUCGGCUGGGACUGUACCACCAGAAGAAGCACCGGCUAACUACGUGCCAGCAGCCGCGGUAAUACGUAGGGUGCAAGCGUUAUCCGGAAUCACUGGGUGUAAAGGGUGUGUAGGCGGAUUUGUGCGUCAGAGGUUAAAUAUCCAGGCUUAACUUGGAAAAUGCCUUUGAUACGGCAAGUCUUGAGUAUAAGAGGGGAAGAUGGAAUUCCUGGUGUAGAAGUGAAAUUCGUAGAGAUCGGGAGGAAUAUCAGUGGCGAAGGCGCCCAUCUGGACGGUAACUGACGCUGAGACGCGAAAGCGUGGGGAGCAAACA
rnacentral:rRNA from 1 species